GGAAGAAGAGCGCAAUUGGAAAAAAUAGGUCCAAGGAAGCGACCCAGGACACCUAGCUUUGGGGAUAACACGUCAUGCAGCACGGGGCUAGAGGAAAAGGAUUCCUUUCCGGUACAUGAUGAAGCGGAGGGCCACUCUACAUCAUGGAAAAGAGAAAUACGAACCUUAUCAACUCUUAGGCACACAGUCCCAAA